UGCUGGUGCCAAGGGUGCACCCACAGGAGGGCACCAGCCUGGGGAAGUUGCUCCACCGGAUAGCAAACUGCCUUCUCAGGAGCACAGCUUCGGACCAGCGGUCCCCAAUGCUCCACCGGCCUAUGAGAAACACUCCGUGGAUCGGUCACCGCCGCCGCCUUAUGCACCCUGAGGGCCUGCUGCCCGAAGGGCUCUCUUCCCUCAUCUGCCAGUCUGCUCGGGCUCAAUCCACACGAUUCAGGGUGCUGCGGGGGCAGCGCACGGCUUCUCUGCUGACUGAGAUCACGCCCAUGGCGUAGGAGGGGUCCCAGCAGCACUCAUCAGGCAAGGGAAAUAUUACAAUAGGAAAGGCUUUGCCAAUAAACCGAGUGACACACGGUA